GGACCUCCUUACACCAUAACCUAAUAGUUGUAGUUAUAAUACACUGUGUGCUGGGAGACGGGGGACCUCCUUACACUAUAACCGUAUAGCUGCAGUUAUAAUACACUGUGUGCGGGGAGACAUGGGACCUCCUUACACCAUAACCUUAUAGCUACAGUUAUAAUACACUGGGUGUGGGAGACAGGGGACCUCCUUACACCAUAACCUUAUAGCUGC